rnacentral:rRNA from 1 species
GAUGAACGCUGGCGGCGUGCCUAAUACAUGCAAGUCGAGCGAACGGACGAGAAGCCUGCUUCUCUGAUGUUAGCGGCGGACGGGUGAGUAACACGUGGAUAACCUACCUAUAAGACUGGGAUAACUUCGGGAAACCGGAGCUAAUACCGGAUAAUAUUUUGAACCGCAUGGUUCAAAAGUGAAAGACGGUCUUGCUGUCACUUAUAGAUGGAUCCGCGCUGCAUUAGCUAGUUGGUAAGGUAACGGCUUACCAAGGCAACGAUGCAUAGCCGACCUGAGAGGGUGAUCGGCCACACUGGAACUGAGACACGGUCCAGACUCCUACGGGAGGCAGCAGUAGGGAAUCUUCCGCAGUGGGCGAAAGCCUGACGGAGCAACGCCGCGUGAGUGAUGAAGGUCUUCGGAUCGUAAAACUCUGUUAUUAGGGAAGAACAUAUGUGUAAGUAACUGUGCACAUCUUGACGGUACCUAAUCAGAAAGCCACGGCUAACUACGU